rnacentral:lncRNA from 10 species
AUAUUGAAUAGAAGUAAUGAAAAUGGAUAUCUUUGCCGUAUUCCCAAUUAUAGCAGAAAAGCAUCGAUAUUUAACCAUUCACUUUGAGUUGUCUGGAACUCAGAAUGAAGGAGGGAGUUCAAAGGAAGAAAAUGAAAGAAAAGUUAUUACUGAUGUCCUCCCCCAAGCCCACAGCACACACAAAAAUCUAAAUAUCAAAUGGCAUUGAGUAGACUGGUAAUCCCCAGGCUGCUUGUGAACAGAAGACUGUCACCAGGCUGAAAGGGCUAUUACUGCCCAGAAUUCCUGAUCUCAAUUAAUCUUCUGGCCUCAGCCUUUUAGGAACUGGAACUACAGGCACAUCUACUAUCUCUAGUCAAAGACUUAUUUGCAUAAUGGUGGAAUUAGUUGGGGUAAAAGGAUCAUCAUCAUCAUCAUUUUGAGAAUGGCUUCAUAAUGACUGUAACUCUGCUAUCCACCCACAAGUUCCUUAGAGCCAAGGUCAGAUGCUGAACCAACAUGGCGAUUCACUGGUUCUCAAGUUCCUCCAAGUUAAGCAAAUAAUUAGUGCCUUAGAAAAAUGAUCCAGCUAGCAACAACCCCUCUCCCCUCAAAAAAAGAGAUUCAUCUUGUGUCACUAAGUUUUAUUUAAAGACCAUGCAAUCGCAUCCCAGCUGGCUUCAUUGAAGUAACAACGUGGGCAAUCAGUGACACCAACUGCAAUGCUAUCGUUUCUAUAAACAGUAAUGAGUGGAGGGGGUAGGUCGGUACUAGAAGCUUAUGUAUAAACAAGAAAGAUCAUUUCAGAAAGAGAGAUUGUCUCAAAAAAAGUCACAGUAUCUUUCUGAUUGUCACCCUAUGAAAUGCAAAUGCCCCACAUUUAAUGGCAUCAGAAGAAAUAUUCAAACAUGACAUUCAUAAUAUUGUCCAGUGAAAAUUACAUGGCAUAAGGAUAACAAUUGCAUACACUAAAUUAGACAAAGAACAAUAAUUCCAUUGUUUUAAGAUACUCCAUAGAAACUGAGAUAACAGAUCUAUAAGUACUCGCUGGAUGUCUCUUUAUAACUCUGGUACCACAGAAUAGAACUUGCACCUUUCUAAGAAGCUGAUUUCUAAUAUAUCUGGCUGUAAAUAAAUGGAUUUAUGUUGAAGCAAGAGCAGAGAAAAGGUAUCACAUAGAUAACUUUGCAGGAUAUCUGAAUAUGGGCAAAGCUAAGUAGACUUGAACUGAG